rnacentral:lncRNA from 1 species
UAAAAAUCACCGUCGCCUAGAUCCGCCUAAGCGCUAGGCCCCCUGGCGCCUCACUUAGGCCUAAGGAGGCAAAAAAAUUCCUCCAGGAAAUUAGGCGGUGCCUAGGUGGGGUCUAGGCGGAGAGUUUUUUUUUUAUUUUAAUAACUACACAAACCAAAUCUUGGUAUAUUUAUUUUUGUAAUGAUUUACUAUAUUCAUAAUAUAGGUUGUAGCAUAUCAAAUAACAACAAAAAGUGAACAAUAUCAAGUCAAAAUGGAUGCCGUCGUUAAUAUUACAAAUAAGAGGGUCAGAUUUGCAAUUUAGUCAACAUUACUGAAUAUUUCAAAACUACGUCGUUCCUUGUGGGAUAUAAAAUGUUUCGUCAUUUCUCAGAUCAAAACAUAUUCUAAUUUUACCAACGACGCAUUUAUCUCUCUCCGUGUAGCAGCUCUACUCAGUCUCUGGUCAGCGCACAACCUCUUGCAAUCCCUUUUAGGCAUCUACAGUAAGAAAGAUUUCUAUCUGUUUGCCUCUUUUUUUUCUGCCAUUAAUGGAUGUUUUGCGUUCUGGGUAUUCAUUUUUCUGUUUCAGUUUGGAUCCUUUCCCCAUUUCAGGAUCUUCUUAUUCAAUUGCUUAACCUUUGCCUUUUUACAUAAAUGUUUUGUUCUCCUUCCAAAUUUUUAAUCUUUCGAAAUGGGUGAAGAUCUACUGUUUGUGUGUGUUUUCCUCUUAUGCUUAUGAUUUCACUUUCCGGUCUCAGUUUUCUUGUCUGAUUUGUGCCUUUUGCUAUAUAGUAAGCUGCUGUUGAUUCCAAAAUUAGAGAGACAAAUUUUGUACAUUGGAGUCAAUUUGCAAAAUUCAAAAUUGGUAUGAAUUAAUUUAUGUUUUGAAAGCAAAUAAAUUGGUAAUUAGUACUCCCUCCGUUCCAAAAUAUCUGAUCUAUAUCGAUUUGUUGGAGUUAAAUUAACGUAUUCUCAAACCCAAAAUUGAUAUGAAUUCAUUUAAUUUUGGACUGUACAAUUAUUAAAAUUUUUGAAACAUCAUUUUUGAGUUUGAUAACAUCAAAUCAUUUUUGAGUUUGAUAAUAUCUCAUAUUGACCUUAAAAAGUUGAACUUGAUCUUAUUGCGGAAAGGAGGGAGUCUAUUGUAGUUAUAGUUGUUUAUACUGAAAUCAAAUAAAUUUGUAUCGAUUGUGAAAUUAGGAUUUUAAAGAUCUAAUUAAAAAAGUCUAAUUUUGGAAUUGAGGGAUAAUUCCUACAAGGGUCCUAAUUCAACUUAUCCAAAAACCAUCUUUUCAUAUUGUUUUAGAGUUGGGGGUUUGUAAAAUGUUGUUUGUUAUGCCUACAAACCAUUGAUAAGUUUGUGGAGUUGUAUGGUUAAUGAUAAGGGACACGUGCUUAUAAAUUUAUUUUCUGUGCUAGGUCUGAUUCAAUACUAGAAUAUCUUUUCAUGACGUUGUUGAAAAUUAAAGACUAUAAUGCAAGUAUGCACAUCUCCUCUUGGGGAUAUGGGUGUUAAUUAUUUGAUUAAUCUCUUAAUCGUUACAAUCUCCACUCCUAGGUGGUUUAUAGAAAUGGUAACUAAACCUAAAUCUGUUGUUUCUCUAACCGAAUCAAACGAAACUGUUGCCAACUGGUUAGGUUCAAUACAAUUGAUUAAUUUAAAAUUCCAAGUCAUUAAUACAGCCGUGUACAUUACAAAUAAAAUGUCAGUACCGUAACUCUUCAAAAUUGGAAACAAAGAACAACUAUGUAUUAAUGAUUAACCUUACUCUUUAGCAGACAUUUUCAAUAAAUGGCUGAGUCUCUCAGAUAAAAGCUAGAAAUUUAGUUCAAGUGCCCUUGAGUAAUAUCACAAGAACAAACUUUAUGUAUUUUAAUAUACAUAGUUAAUUGAUUAGGUUAAGUGGUUCAAUUUGAUUACUUUAAUCAUGAUUAAUAGUAUGUUUGGUUCGAUUAUAUUAGGUUAAUCGCUAUUAGAGAUACCUAAGCAUGAAAUAAAACAAACCAUACAGUUAACUCACUUUUGAAACCAAGCUAAGUUUGCUUUGGUUAAUAACGGCAGAGCCCCUGAGGAAUGACCUUAAGGUUGCUGGUUAAAUCUCAUACUUGGGGAUAAAAUUACCUAUUAAAAGGAAAAGAAGUUUUUUUUUUGUGUGCACCAACCUAUCGGUUUGGUUAAUAAUUAAACCAAACCUUAAGAUUAAGUUUGAAUAGAUUCGGUUGACCAGUUUGGCUGUUAAAAUCUACGCCCCCAGACCUUAGCAGUCAGUUUCGUCCAAACUUGAACGACAUUGUGGUUGUGUAAAAUAAAAUAUAUAUUCAAAUGUGAAGUUUCUCUGGCUCAGGAGUGUUUGUCAAUUUGAAGUCUCUGAAAUGUUUAUGAGCUAGGCUAGUAAGAAAGAAAAAAACUUGGGUUCUCUAGAAUACUUAUUUAGAAUUAUGAAUUUAUGAUAAAAAUACAGAAAGUUUUCUCCGUCAUCUAGAGGCUAGUUUCAGCUAUAAACAAAUCUAUGAACUGUCAAAAGAACAAUACAAAGACCUAAGGAUCAUUUUGAAGGCUUCCACUCAAUAUUGGAGAGAAGUUCCUGACAAUUUGUUAUCUGGAUUGAACAAUUAGAGAUAGGCAAGUGUUACUGCAUGCUGCUUCACUACCAGAAUGUACAAGUUCAGUUAAUAGAAACAUUUGUGCUGGAAGCAUUUGAGGUCAGUACAAGGGUGAACUGAACAUCUCCAUGCAACUUAUGGAACCUUGCCAGUGCACCAACAACACCUGCUGAUUCACCAUUUGAUCACGUUGAUAUUGAAUAGUGUUUUAAGUGGUAAUGAUAACAAAAAGUCGGUAGAAAAAACUAAUAAUAUCAAUGUGCUCAUACUGUUGUCAUGUAAAGUAAUAUAACAAUACAAAUGCAUAAGUAAUGAUGAUUCACGCUUUAUAUGCUCCCGUAUGUAAAUGUUCAUGAAACUGUAGCAUACUUUGUGCUAGUAUGCAAAACGAGUAAAUAAUAUCAUCAGCAUAAUUGGUUUGUAGUUUAUAUCAUGUUCAAUAUUAGACGUUUGCAAUCAGAUAAUGGUAAUAUGUUUGUUUAAAUUAUUAUCUCAAGUUAAAACUAUUGCUUAUUCAUAAUCGAUUUAUCCACUUCAGAAAAUAAAAGGAUCCUAAAGAGAUUUACAAUGCUUUUAUACCUUUUCUUAGGCUUGUUCAAUAUUUGUAGUCAGAACAUAGAGAUCUCAUUAGCAAUAUGCUCAAUGUAUCCUCUUAAAUUGUAGAAUAGAAUAUUAGUUAGCGUGUCUCUAAUUACCUGCCUUGUUAUUCCUAGGGUUAGCGCUAUGAACUGGAUUCAACGCAAGAUCUAUCUUUACAAUGUCACUUUUGGACUGUACAUGUUGGAUUGGUGGGAGCGUCAUCUAUUCAGUAUCCUUUUUCCCUAUAUUCACUUUAUAUAAAUGUAUACAUACAUGUAGAGUUGAUCACUUUAUAUAAAUGUACACAUACAUGUAGAGUUGAUCAGACAUUUACAUGUUACUCAGGUUUAUGAUUGCAGCAUAUUAUACAAUUUUAUGCAAAUCCUAUCAUUGCACUGCACUCCAGAAUUUGACCAAGUAAAAUUGAAGAUAAAAUUAAGUAUAGAAAUUUGAGUUUUGUGAAUAUAUUUGUGAUUUUCAAUGUGUAUUGUUUGUUUUUAUGGGUCCUUAGAGAAAGUCUGCUGAUAAAUUUCGGAUUUGAUUUCCUUAAUGUCAUCAGAUGCUUUGGUAGUUGUAUUGAUGUGGUUUAUUUUCUACAAUGGGUCACGAUACAUAACUGAAUUAUGCAAAAGGUAGAAUCAGUACUCUAUUCUCGGUUAUUUUUUCUUAAGCUCUUACUUAAUUGUCAUUAUUAUGAAUCAUGUAUUAAUUGCAAAUAGUGAACAAUGAGAAAUAAACUUCGCUCUUCCAGUUUGUCGAAACCCUUUAUAUACGUAGACACGUAGUUGUCACUUGUCUUCUUGCUUUAGCUUUUGUAUUUUGAAAACAAAGUUUUGCAUUAGAAUUGUUUCCCUUAGACCUGUGACACCAUGCAGUUGAAGAAGUAUAUCAAAUAAGAAAGGAAUCAUAUAGAAGAGGAGGACCAAACUUGUCGGAACCGUAAUUUCAUGCAUUCUUUUUAUUUUUUAUAACUAAUUUCACUAAAACACCAAAAAGGUUGGUGAACCCAUGUACACACACAGUAUACAAUGCAUAAGGAAAUAAAAGGCACACCUAUGGUUCAAAAUAAUAAACCUUCUCCCUGCACUAGGAACCUUCAAAAAUUACUAGCAUUAUGGCAAAUUCACCGUAAAAACAACAAAAGUAACACUCUUCAUGAAGCCAAAAGAAAAGUAGGUUCAAGAAAGACAUCUGAUCUGACAAAGCGCCCUUGUUCUACCCUCCCAUUAUUGGUUGUUUUGCUCCUUCCAGAUUUUCCACCAAAUGCUAUGAGACAACGAAUUCUGUCGCCUUCUCCAUUCCUUUUUUACUUUAACUCUUUGCCAUGAAUAUACAUCUCGUUGACUGAGUUUGGCAUCAGCCAAGAAAUACCGAACAAGAAGAAAACUGAGGUGCAAAGACUCCUCACAAACUCACAAUGGAGAGAUCAGCCGCUUGGUACUCACAACCGGACAUCACAUACUUAUUCAGUAGCCCGGUGCCCUCCACAUCAGCAAGUCAUUUCCUCCUCCUGGUAUUGCCUAGUAAUAAGAUAUGACUGAGAAACAACCACCACUAUGCUCCUUCUAGCUAAUUGCGUUAAUAUGGACAUUCCUCAAUACUUUUCCUGAAAGCAUGAGCAAUAAAUCAGCCACAUCCUGGAAUUCCAAAUCCUGAAAAUAACACCUAAAAACCAGUUACCAUGACCAGCUUCUGUGAACUUCAGAGCAAUACUCAGCAAGGUUGACCCAACGUUACCUAGAUCAUGGUUCAAUGCGAUACAUCAAAUGAAAUCGCGAAUGGAAAACGUCAUUUUUUGUGGUAAGAAAAAUGGUAGGAGUAGGUUUCUUCGAAUCACUUAGCUAGUACAAAAUAAUGAAAUGUUUAUUCGGAACAUAGUAAGUUGGAAAUAGCUUUCUGAAAAGAUAUAGUUAAUACUAGUUGAGUUAUAGUUAAAACUAGUUGAGUUAUUUUUAAGCGUAAUGUCACAACAAGAGCAUUUUCAACAAGAUUACGUCAUAUCAUUGCUCACUGGAUAGCCACAAGACGCUCAUUUAUCUACAUUAGUUGACAUUCCCCAGAAAUUAUAUAUAUACAUAUAUAUAUUAGGGUUUCUAAAAGAGUGUUCUAGAUGUACUCGUGUGAUUAUUAUAUUUAGUAAUAUUCUUAGAUGAUGAUUAUAGAUAGUUGAUAUCGAUUUUUCAUUAGAUUUGAUCUUACCCAUUGGAUGUAUGGCUCAAGGCUAUAUAAGAGGAUGCUUCUCUUUUUAUAAAUUAUAAAGCGAAAUUUUAAUUUUAAUCAUGUUUGUGCGAUAGAAGUUUAAGUAUAUAGGGGGAAAAGGUUUGGAUCACUACAUUUGAUGUUCUAGAACAAAAAUGAUCCAUAUUUUGGAACGUUUGUACCAAAGCACAAUCAUGUUACCUAUUUACUCGGUAAGUAAAGUUACGGCCGUGUCUAACCCACCAACCAUAACUGAUUGGGGAACAAACACUUUCCUGUUAACAAAAUUAUAUUUGCCUCUUUCAUUCCCCAAUUUCGUAUGACCUUAUAUUCCAUCCCGAGUCUCUUAAUAUAGUUGUAAUGUUCUAAAAGGCGCUAGGCGGGCGGCCUAGCGCCUAGGGGGCGGGACCUAGGCGGAAUUUUUUAUUUUAAGUCAAUUUUAAUAUUUUGUCUUACAUUUAUCCAAACAAAACAAUAAUAUAAAGCAAAACAAUCUAUAAUAAAGAUAAUAAAAGUCUUUGUUUAAAAUUCAAACACAUAUCCAUAUUGCUAAUGUCAAAGUUCAAACACAAACAUACAAUUGUUCAAAGUUCAAACAUAUUUUUAACGUAUUAGUUUUAUUCAUAAACAAGAUUGCUAUUAAAUAAUAAAAUUUAAAAUUUCAAGAAUUUAAUUUAAUAUUAAAACUUAAGAAACUAAACAUAAAUUUAAGAAUUAUAUUGAAUUAAACUAAAUAUUACAAAUGUAUCAUCAUUUAUAUAAUUUGAAGUUGGUACAAAUUCAAAAAAUUACAACUAUAGUAAAAUUAUCUAUUUUGACUUGAUAUUGUUCACUUUUUGUUGUGAUUUGAUAUGCUACAACCUAUAUUAUGAAUAUGGUAAAUCAUUAGAAAAAUAAAUAUAUCAAGAUUUGGUUUGGGUAGUUAUUAAAAUAAAAAAAACCUCUUCGCCUAGACCCCACUUAGGCACCGUCUAAUUUUCUGGAGGAAUUUUUUUGCCGCCUUGGGCCUAAGUGAGGCGCCAAGGGGGGGCCUAGGGCCUAGGUGCCAAGGGGGGCCUAGCGCCUAGGCGGAUCUAGGCGGAAAUUUUUAGAACACUGUGUAGUUGUAGAAGUAUGAGCAAUUGAAGCAAAGACAUUAGUCGAGGGAGGAAGGAGAAAGGAAUUCACUUACAUAUUUUGAAUGCAUAUUUAGGAAUUAGGGCUUCAAAUAUAUGUUAUAUGCAAUUUUAAGGAGUGGUACCCAGGGUAUUUCCUGUCUUUGACAGUGGGUAUGAUAGAAUGGAGGCAGGAACUCAGGUUUUUUCGGUGCAAACAAGAAGUAAAUUUUGUUUAUAUCAGAUGAAAUGCAAACAAGAAAGAGUUUCAUGUAAAUUUUGUUUAUAUCACAUGACGAUGUUAGUAGCCUUUGUAUCUUGUGGAUCCUAAAUGUUGAGCUGUUAACAUGAUAAUAGAUGUACUUCAUUUCUAUGUUGUUGAUGGUGGAAGCAGCUAUUUGACAUUAAUCUAUUGUCAACAUGACAACUUUAUUUCAAAAAAGUGAUUAAAUUUUUGUAGUUUUCCCUUUGUCGAAGCUAAAAAUGGUUAUGCUUUUUGCACCCAGUAAACUGAAAAUUCUAAGCCUGUGCGGGGAACUUCUCAAAUGUUUUGAGAGAGCUUUCAGCAGUCAAGUAGUUGGGACUGCUAGGUUGUGUAGUAUGGAACUGAACAUCGAAUGGUAUUACUGCACUCUAUCUUCAUCCAUGUUGAAUAUGAAGGCAUGGUCUGUCCUUCAUUUGAGGUCAUCACUGUGAAAUGUCAAAUGGCUCACCAUGAAAUCAAAUAAAUAUAUAUUGAAUUUUUGGAUAACCAUAUAUAUAACAAUAGUGUCAACUUUGAACUAUAAUUUGAAUUUUGAUUAGUUGUACUCUUAUGCUCUUGCAAAUAAUUUGGUUUUAUCUUCUCUAAACCACUCUUUUUUGGUAUAAAAUGUUUGCAGAAAUUGAUUAUAUUUACUGAAUUAUACUUCAACAUUUUCUUUGUACAUAGCUAAUAAAACAC